rnacentral:lncRNA from 1 species
AAACCCCAUCAUGGUCAACAGCUAACCUAGUGUAAUGUCUUUGGUUUAAACCCCAUCAUGGCCAACAGCUAACCUAGUGUAAUGUCUUUGGUUUAAACCCCAUCAUGGUCAACAGCUAACCUAGUGUAAUGUCUUUGGUUUAAACCCCAACAUGGUCAACAGCUAGCUAACCUAGUGUAAUGUCUUUGGUUUAAACCCCAACAUGGUCAACAGCUAGGACCUGAGAUAAACCUCAGCAUGGGAUUUAAAAUAAGUGUUAUCUGCACAAAUAUGUUGAUGAGAGUUGUUUUCUGCAUCCUAUUGUACCCUAUUCCUGAUAGAGUGCACUACUUUUGACCAGGGGUCAUAGGGCUCUGGUCAAAAGUAGUGCACUAUAUAGGGAAUAGGGUGCCAUUUUGGACAUAGGCGUAGUGUUUUGGGUAUUGAGUCCUGACAAUCUGUCAAGUCAGUCAAGCUUGACUGAGUCAGUGACAUUCUUUUGUUCCAAAGUGUCACGUUGUUUUGUUUUUUUCUUCAUGGCGCUUGGUAUGUAUUCUUGUAUUCUCCUAGAGACUUCAAUUUGACUCCUGUGAAAGUUGCCAAUUCCAACAGUACCCAAUUAUGGGUUUGGCACAGACAGAGAGAUAACAAACAAGUCACAGUAACUUAGCUACACUUCUAUAUAAAGAUACAUGACAAUGGCUUUGACAUUGUAUUUUGUUGUAACUCUGGCCCAGUCCAACCACACCACCACCACCACCACCACCACGUUUGUGCUUUUGCAUUCCAUUCCAGUUGAAACCUCCCUUUUUAUUUAAAGAAAACAGUGAACCUUCUUGUCUGACUGUGUCUGCAUCCAUCGCAGUAUAUUCUACAUAUGGGACUAGGGUGCCAUUUCAGACGCAUCCUGUGUUAAUUAGAAUUCCGUUGUCCGUUUUCCCCCCGGCUGUCGUUGGUCAUGUGACAAAGCUCCGGUUCCUAUUGUUACUCUCUACACUGUCCUCUAUGUACGACACAGAAAAAGCAUCGUUUUGGAACUCGCUCAUUCAUUCUUCACAACUUUGUAUUGUCCACCACCUCGCUGUACAUCUUACAGUGACACGGAUCGUCGUGUGCGUCCCAAAAAAUGACACCCUAUUCCCUUUAUAGUGCACUACUACCCAUAGGCACAGGUCAAAAGUAGUGCACUAUAUAGGGUAAUAGGGAGCCAUUUUGGGACGUAGACGGUUGUCUUUUUAUAUGCAUGGUAUUGGUAGCCUACCAGGACUUUUGAGACGGUCCCUUGGCAAACACCUUGAUGGGAAGAUUUAGCACUUUCUCUCUUUGUACUAUGCACUACUACUAUAAUACUACCACCUUGUUGGUUCUGUUCAGACACGGGUUCAAAUACUUCAAGCGUUUGCUCUACCCUGCCUGGAGUGCCAGAUGGGCGGGGUUUGUGGGUGUUUUUUUGUUGUUGCGACUGUUCUAUUGGUUCCGUUGCUCCAGGCAAGCUCAAUCAAGCCCAGAUACAGUAUUUUGAAAUGAUUUCCUCAUGUCUGAUUCUGAUAUCACUCCCCCAAACUAUGUUACUUGAACUUGUGUUUGUCAGUCAAGAUCAACUCUCGAUGCUUACUACAUUGUGUAUAUGUAAAUAACACAGAACACGAAGAAUAAAAUCUACAAAUAAAUAACUAUUAAAUAAAUAAAACAGAUUUUAAUGAAAGCUUCUAUCACAGUCACUUAUGUGUAAUAUGUCACCCUCUGGUCAUGCUACCACUAAAUAAAACUAUAAACUAUCACAUAAAUUAAUAAAUCAAUUGUUAUUUUCCCCCCCAAAUGUGUCAUGUGGAUGAAUAAAACUGGAGUUUAUUAAAAAAAAAAAAAAAAGAGACAUUUUAAACAGAAUAUGGCGUGUUAAAAGGAAAUAAUCAAAUGACCUCCGAACAACCUGUACAUGUAAACGGUUUUCUGUUUUGAGUGAAACAAGUGCUUUGUCAUUUUUCUUCCGUUCCCUGCGGCGACACUGGAAAAAAAAUAACAAAAAGUCUGUAUGAAAUUCUGUUCUUUGUCGACACAAGUUUUUUUGUUACAAAUAAACUCAAGUGAAAAAAAA